rnacentral:rRNA from 1 species
UACAUGGGGUGCAAACGUUGCUCGGAAUCAUUGGGCGUAAAGCGCGCGUAGGCGGUUGCUUAAGUCGGAUGUGAAAGCCCUCGGCUUAACUGAGGAAGUGCAUCCGAAACUGAGCAGCUAGAGUACGAAAGAGGGUCGCGGAAUUCCCGGUGUAGAGGUGAAAUUCGUAGAUAUCGGGAGGAACACCGGUGGCGAAAGCGGCGCACUGGACCAUAACUGACGCUGAGGCGCGAAAGCUAGGGGAGCAAACAGG